GAUCCUUGAGCACUUGGCAGUUGAUUUGUCGAUUUGAGUAACAUCGACGCCAUAUUGGAAUAAAGAAGAAAUCUACGGGUGUUGUCAUGUCUGUUUUCGAAAAGCUGUCAAUAACAACUUAAAUUUAAAUUGAUUGAUCUUAAUUAGUCUUUGAAGUGUUGUAAUUAAGACCGCAGCCAUGCCGAAAUUUGAAAAUAAAGAUGAAGAGAUCAGCUAUUGGCAGCAAAGGGCAAAUGACAUCGAAGCCGAGCUUGAGGAGUUUCGUGAAAGCUCACAGAUGAUUGAGCAAGAGCUGGAAGCUUCCUUGAAUCAGGCCGAAAAAACCGUCAGGGAAUUGAGAAUGAGAAAUAACAGACUGCAAUUGGAUCAUGAUUCUGUUCGAGACAAACUGGAACAGAUGCAACAAGAAUUUACUGCUCAGAUAACGGAACUGCAAGAAGAGACAACACAGAGCCGUAGUAGAGAGGAAAACUAUGUGAAAUACAUCCGUGAACUUGAGCAGAAGAAUGAUGACCUUGAACGAGCGCAAAGAGCAAUGUACGUGUCGCUAGGAGAAUUCGAACGUAAAUUGAAUUCAUCCAUUGAGAGGAAUGUACUUUUAGAAUCCGAAUUAGACGAAAAAGAACAGUUGAAAACAAUGGUUCAGAGAUUAAAAGACGAAGCGAGAGAUCUAAAGCAGGAGAUGCAGAUAAGAGACAGGGGAGGACACCCGGACGACAUAAUUGCGCCGAAUCGAAAGUCGAGCAUCAAGAGUCUUGACACCAACAAAAUGCCUCCUUCCACGCCCGCCACACCCCUAAGAACCGUGAACAUCUCAAUGGGUGGACAAAACCUGUCAAUGUCUCCCACAACACGGAUAUCUGCCAUGAAUAUAGUUGGCGAUCUUCUCAGGAAAGUUGGGCUUGAGAAGUGGUUAUGUUCGGCUUGUGAUCGCAUCAAGUGCGUAUGUCCGAAUCCUACGUCUCCUCCAUUUUUUCAAUGACGAACACCCCUCAUUUUUAACCCUCUCCCUCUCCCCCUACCUCAUUUUUGCGGUAGUUUGAUUGUUCUGUGUAUAAACUUUGCUUUAAAUGUAAUUUUUUCAAACAGGUCAAUAACGGUAACCUAUUGCAGGUCGAAUGUAUAAAAUGUAUCAUAUUUUUAAUUUUAGGCUUACUGUAUUUUACGUUUUUAAUUAUUUUGUAAUGUUAAUUUGUUGUUUGAAUACUGGUGGUUGAGUUUUGUGCUAGAUUGCAUUAAACCGACAAACCGAGUUUGAAUUUAACCAUGGGUCAUCCUGAGCUCAGUACAAUCAAUAGUCCAAGGCUAAAAAUGAUUCAUUCUUUUCUGUGCAGUCUAGAAAAAUCUAUAUUUUCUUCAAUUCUCUAAUCUUUAGUAUUCCUCAAACUCUUGAAAUUCUUCUCAUUCUACGAUUAUAAAUUAUAAUCGUAGAAUCUGUUUGCAAUUUUCCACUCACUCACUUUUUCUGAACUGUCUGUUUAAUUUUUGAAUUCUCUUUAUAUUUCUGUACAUGACUCAUUGAAACCAACAUAAACAAUAUAUUAAUUCCCAAUAAAUGGAGUCCAUAUAUUAAAUCAUUACAUAUCCCUGAAAUGGUUAAAGAAAAACUGGUUUGAAUGCAUGUUCAAAGCUUGCAUCAGUUGAUAAAUAAAGCAUAAAUUUAACUACAUAAUCUGGUAUCUUUUCUUACCUGACUAUGCUUUACAUUCAUUCUAUUUUUCUCAGUUCUUUGUCGAAAUGUUUUGUUAUUCCUCUCAAAAUAGAACCUGUCUUUUUACCACUUGCUAAUAACAGUCGUUAGGUCAUGUCAGUGUCAGAGGUUCUGUAAUUGAUCAGGUGCGUCGUGAAAACUGACACCAGACCUGAGCCAGCCAGGUCACUCGAUAUUAUUAUGAUUUGCCACUUGCUUAUAGGAAUAUAGUCAAAUACUGUAUCCUAUUGUAUUAGUAUUUCUAUCCUAAUAGUAUCUAAUACUUUUUCUGUAUUAUAUUUUUACUGGAACAUUCAAUUGUUCUAAAACAGGAUACUGUUUAGUUCACUGUAAGGCAAGUUACUUUUUGGUUUCACUCAAUACAAGUCAUUAAGCGUUUCAUUCGUAUGUGCUGUACAAAUUGAAUUAUCUUUAUAUCAUUCGGUGCUAUUUUUAAAUUUUGUUUAAAAUUUACUAACCAUUAAUCUCAUUUUACUCUUAAAUCAGUCAAUCUAGUCACAAUAUUUUACAUUUUCAUUCCAUUAAGGGCCCUACAAACCUAAGGAUUUGGCUCGUCUCGGCUCGGCUCGGGUGAAAUCCGUGAGGCGAGCCGAGCCGAGCCAAAUCCGUCCAGGGCUACUGGCGCGGCUCGACUCGGGCGAAAUCCGUGAGUGUGUAGGCUCUCCCGGCCGGGCGCGUGUAGUUACCAAAAUCGAAAUCGCCUAAAAAUCAAGAUAGCAAAAUUUCGAUUUCAGAUUCGGAUUCAGCGCCCUCGAAUUAGUAAAAUGGUUCGCGGGAGCUCUAAAAUAGUCGAAAAUGAAAACUCUGUGAGCACUUUAAUGUUAUUAAUGAAGAAUUCUAUUUCUAUGAAGAAUUUAGUUGAACUUAUAGCAAGAAAGUACUAGUACUGUAAAAUAAUAUAAUACCAGUGUUUAUCUCUUUUCUGUAUAGGGCUACUUUUAUAGAAAUAGAAAGAAAAAUAAAAAUCUUAGUACCCUUUUUAAAAUAUUUAAUCACAACAUGUUUCCACUUCAUGUUAAUGGUUAGUAAAUUUUAAACAAAAUAUAAAAAUGACAUCAAUGUCCGAAACAUGUUGUGAUUAAAUAUUUCAAAAAGGGUACUAAGAUUUUUAUUUUUAUUUCUAUUAAUACCAGUGUUUCCCAAAAAAAAUUUAUUAGCUGUAGAAUAAACAUAUUUCAAUUUUUUAUUCAAUAAAAAUGCAAUUUUUUUGUAUUAUUUUUGUCUACUUGUGGGAAAUUUUAUUGAGGGAGCUGAAAUUGAAUCACAAUUUUUUUGUCUCUAUUUUUAACAGGUCAAUAUUGAGUAUGACAACCUUCUUCGAUCAAUGAAUUGUCAUAGUAUUUUAAAUACUAUCUUACAUAAGAUGUAAAGAGUUCUAUACCGUACUUAUUGGGAGCUGGUUGAGGCUUUACAAUAUUUCAAGUAUAGAGGGUUCAAUUCUCUAUCUACUGCCACGCUGAGUGAAUUAAGAGCUGGUGUGUGGCUGUAUGAGAAAGAGAGAGAGAUUGAUUGAUUGAUUGAUUUUAUUGAUGGUGUGCUAGGUCUCGACAGACCCAUUGCACAAAAACAUCAUUACAAAAUAUACAUCCAGAUAAUUAAACAAAAUAAACGAUAGUAACAUGAACAAAAUGGUAUUAAUGCAAUUAAGAAAAAGAGAAAUUAGUAGAUAAUUGGAAAAUGACAGAUUAAUUGUUAUAAUUAAAAGAUAGCAGAAACCUCUAUCCAGGAGGUAGAGAGAAUAGAGAAAAAUAAGGGGGCAGAGAGAAGAAAUGAAGAAUAAAAGUAAAACAUAUAUAAAAAGAAACUACAAAUGAAGCACAAUUACUUUUAAGUGGCGUUGAAAAAUCUGUUAAUGAAACUGCACUUCAGCGGACCUCAAAAAGCUUACUGAAUUCACAUCCGUCAGAGAGAGAGAGAGAGAGAGAUUGAUUGAUUGAUUGAGUACUUUAUUUAUGUAGAUUACAAUAUAUACUGGCUUAUACACUUAUAUACAAUAGCUUACAAUACAGCAAAAUUAUAGAUGAAUUUAUAUUUAUCUGAUUAUAUGUAAUGUAUAAAUUUGAAGAAUAAAUGAAUUUAUUAUUAAAAAAAUUACAUAAUAUAGACUAAGAAAAUAAUUAUUGAACUCUAUAUGAUAUGAAAAAAGCAAUUUGUAAUAUAAUAACUAUAGAUAAUUAUAAUGUUAUGCAUCAACAUAAAUUGGCGGAGCUUUGGACAUAUCAAUGGAAGUGAAAUGGAAGGAAAUGGAAGUGAAAAUGGUCAGAGAUGAAUCCAUAUUCAACUCUUUUCAUAUUCAUAGUUGAUUUUCGAUUUUCUGAUUUCAUAUUUGGAUUCAUCUUUUCAAAGUUUGAAAUUUAAAAAAAGUUUUAAAAAUGUUCAUGUUUAGACCUAAACUUUUAAUUAUUCAAACACUUCUAAAAACCUUUCCCUUUGUGAGCAAAAAAUUAUUAUCUUAUUAACCAAGUACGUUUUUACUAUGAUAAUAGAAAGCUAUAUUAAAAACAGCCAUAACUCCCUUGUUUUCGGGUAUUUUCGAAAAUGGGACUUACGCUUUUAAGAAUUUGCGGUAGCUGAAUUCAAAUCUGAAAUCAAAAUUCCUCUAUCUCCAUUAUUGGACGAUUUAGAUUUUGGUGGAGAGGAUAGCGUUGAAAAGUAGGGCAGGCCGGGCUCCCGUUGCUUACUACUAGUGUGUAGUGAUUUUGCUCCGAGUCGUUCAAGGACACGAGCCAAGACAGGCCAAAUCCGCGAGCCAAAUCUGUAGGAGUGUAGGGCCCUUUAAAUAUCGUUCGUAAAUUUCACGUGCUCAGCAAUGAUCUAUCAUAUUUUAUCACACAUUAUUGAAUAAUAUUAUGCAUGCAAUUUAAUGUAAUUAUAAAUAAUACUAAUAAUAAUUGUUUUCUAAUUAUAGGGUUUGUUUUUUAUUGAUAAGUGUUUUCAAGUUAUUGUAAAAAUGUAUGAUAAUGUGUAAAUAAUUGCUGAAGGGUGCCAUAAAUAAACUGAUGAUUUGUUCGAUAAAAAAAUCAAUACGGAGUGCUAGAGUAGCAAAUACGUGAUAAUUUUGGAGUUUUUAUUUAGAAAACUUUCAAAAUAUAUCUGUGAUUUUUUUGUCUAGGUAUUCUUUUUUAUAUUAGCUUUUUAAUUUCUUGGAACUGUCAUAUCCACUUUUUUAAUUGUAUAUUAUUUCCAUUGCUGCAUAAAAUGAUUUUAGGCCAUCUAUUAUCUAAUUUUUCUCAUAAAUAAAUUAACUUUCUUGUUAGUAUUUGUUUAUAUGAUGGAAUUUCUUUCUGAAAACUGAUCGGAAAUCAUUAAUCAGAAAAUAAUUAUUGAUCUAAACUUGAUGAGAGAAUUUUAUUUUGAAAUAAUCUAGUUAGUUACGUUUCUUGAAUUAUUCGUUAACUUUACUAGAAGUUACAUGUUGAAGUGUCAUGAAAUAAUUAUUGAAUAAUAUAGUUUUUAAUGAUAGUCUUCUAUUAUGAAAGCCCCAUUAGCCUAAACUAAUCGAAUUGGUAUAAAAGUUUCCAUCAAUUCUGUAACAAUACAUUUUACAUUCUAGAAAGUGGCGUUUAGUUUAUGUAGGAAGACACAGUAGUAUCUUACUGUAAUCAAAGAAUUAUUUUCCAAAUAAUAUUAUUAUAUAAUAGAAAUAUUUAUUCUAUAUCCUAUUGGUAUCACGGAAAUUGGGAAAUCGGUUAGUGUCUCUAAGAUUUAUUUUGUUGAAGUCCUACUGAAACUGUUAAUGAAUUUUCAAACCACCGCAAAAUGCAACAUCCCUUCCAUUAUCAUCCAUUUUCCGAGUAAAUCCGAAAUUUCAAAAGCUUAGCUGGCACUACAAGUCUUCUGUUAUCAGGCCUUGGAAUCUAAGCUGGCAGCGUGUAGAAAUACGGAUGGACCUCGUGAAAUGCAUAGAGGAACUAGAAGAUUGAAUAGAGGAACAUCUACACCAUCCAUUCAGAAUUUGGACCGCUCCUAGUACAUAAUUCAUAAUAGCUACUACAAUGUAUAAUAUGAAAACUAUACAUUCUUAUUGCAAGUAUUAUAAGAUUUAUUUUUUAUUGUAAUAAAACUCAUGUAAAUAUGUAUUUAUUUAUGUCAGUGUAUUUUUUUCAAAUGUUUUAUUUUCUGUAUAACUCGACUACAAUUAUUGUGUAGUUCAGCUAAAUUUAAUUGAUAAGCAAUAAUAGUGAAUUGAGAUCUCUGUAAUUUGUUUCUUACGUUUUUGUGGGCUUCAAUAAUUCUAUUUUUAUAUUAUUUUUCAUUGUAAAACUAAAGCAAAAUAUAUGGAGACUAUAUAGAAUUGUUUCUUUUGUAGUUUACUGUAUCGAGGAUUGAAUGGAUUUCUAAUUCUAUUGAAUAUUAAUUUUUCAUUUAUUUUUACAAUGAAAUUAAUACUGCUCAUUCAAACUAAAUAAUUGAUUUGUAUUUGUAUACUUGAUAUUUUAAGGAUGUUGAUUUUAUUUUAUUCAAGUGUAAAAGUAAAUUUCAUUACGAAAUUGCUUGAAAUACAUAUUUAAUUUAUAUCACUGUACUCGAAACCUGUCUAAUGAUAUGUUGUGUAAAUUGACGCAGAAUUGUUCAAUUCAAACAUUGAAAUCUUGCUGUAUCACAAUUUUUAAAAGAAAAAUAACAACUAAAUCCAAAUUUGUAGAUUUGCAUUUCUGUAAUUCUCAAACAAUGUAUUAAUUAUUAUGUGUCAACGUAAUUUUAUUUUUUGUAUUCUCAUGUUUUUUGAUGGAAUUUAUUUUUCAAAAGCUCUAAAAUUAUUGUUAGUUAUAUUAUACCAUUUUAGCUACUGGUUAGCAUUUUAGUGACUAUUUUCCAGUGAUGAAUGAUACUCUGUGUUAGUGUUCAAAACAAAGAAAUGUCUAUUUAAGUUGAUUGUGAAUAGCAGGGAAAAUAAUAUUGACAAUAAUUUUAUUGAUAUAAUUCAUUAAUUUAUUUUAUUUCUAUUAAAACUUGCUUUACUUUUUUUUAAUUUUGUGUUAUUUUUAAUUAUUAAGGAAAGGUUGCAGCUUAUCAUUAAGUCUUGUGUAGUUGAUUUCUGUAAGAUUUAUUUUGUAAUUUUAUGAAAAACAUAAUGACAUUCAAAAUCCCUACUGUAAAUCAAAGACAAUCUGAGUGACCAUUACUGUACAAAUAUGUAUUUUGUUUUCAAAAGCUGUUUCGUUGAGAAAUGAACGCUUUAAUACCAUAAUCAAUUAAACAAAUAAACUACAGAACACAUAAUCAUUCUAAUAAUAAACACACAAAAAUAUGUUUGAAAUACCCAAGAUUGAAAAUUUUUCGAUGAUACAAGAACGCUUUGAAAUGGUAUUCCAAACUACCCAUGUAUUUUGAAUGACACUCAACGUUGUAAUCAAGACAUUUCCCAAAAUUUCAUUUAUUGCGAGAGUAUCUAAGAUCAUUCAAAAAAAUAAUCCUUUUUGACUUGAGGAUUAGAUUUUCAACAUCAAUUUUCUCUGUUAUAAAAUUGAGUUGAUCUGCGCCAGUAAUAAACGCUCCAAAAUAAUGUAUUUAUCUGUAUGUUGAAAUAUGGGCUGUGUAAGAAUCUUCAAUAAUUAUGUUACAAAUUAUUAUCUGAAAAUAAUCAAAUAAUACUAAUAAUUAUUAGAUUCAUCGAUUUAAAUAUGUUGUCAAUAUAUCAAAUCUGUUCAGUACACUGUAAAAAUAGGUUUAUUAUACAAAUUGAUACGAUUGUACGAAUACUUUUAUUUUUGAAAUGGAUUUUGACUCCCAGAUUAUUAAUGGAAACAAAAUGUGUCGCAGACUCGAAUUAUUGUAAUUGUGAAUGAAUUCUCAUCAGGAAUGAAACGUAGAAUGCCUUGAACAUCAACUGAUUAUUAUUGUACUAGAAUGUAGCAAAUUUACUACUACAGAAUUGAUUUAUUGAAAAAUAAAUUUAGAACAAGGA
rnacentral:misc_RNA from 1 species